rnacentral:rRNA from 1 species
AAGUAAGUUAUGUGGGCCAAGGUAUGGUGAUUAAUUGGAGUCUAGUUCAUUUACUUUGAGAAAAUUAGAGUGUUUAAAGCAGCCUCUUGGGGCACUGAAUACAUUAGCAUGGGAUAAUAAAAUAGGAUCUUCACAAUAUAUUUUAUUGGUUUAAAUUGGAUAUGAAGAUAAUGAUUAAUAGGGACAGUUGGGGGUAUUCAUAUUGGGUGGUUAGCGGUGAAAUGCUCGGAUCCAUUCAAGAUGAACUAAAAGCGAAAGCAUUUACCAAGGAUGUUUUCAUUAAUCAAGAACGAAAGUUAAGGGAUCGAAGACGAUUAGAUACCGUCGUAGUCUUAACUAUAAAACUAUGCCGACCAGGGAUAUGAGUUGUUAGGAAUAUACGAAAGUAUAUUCAAUUUCUUCUUAUGGACCUUGUGAGAAAUCAUAAGUUUUUGGGUUCUGGGGG